rnacentral:rRNA from 1 species
AUUGAACGCUGGCGGCAUGCCUUACACAUGCAAGUCGAACGGUAACAGGUCUUCGGAUGCUGACGAGUGGCGAACGGGUGAGUAAUACAUCGGAACGUGCCUAGUAGUGGGGGAUAACUACUCGAAAGAGUGGCUAAUACCGCAUGAGAUCUACGGAUGAAAACAGGGGAUCGCAAGACCUUGUGCUACUAGAGCGGCCGAUGGCAGAGUAGGUAGUUGGUGGGGUAAAAGCUUACCAAGCCGACGAUCUGUAGCUGGUCUGAGAGGACGAUCAGCCAAACGGGGACUGAGAAACGGCCCAGACUCCUACGGGAGGCAGCAGUGGGGAAUUUUGGACAAUGGGCGAAAGCCUGAUCCAGCAAUGCCGCGUGCAGGAUGAAGGCCUUCGGGUUGUAAACUGCUUUUGUACGGAACGAAAAGCCCCGGGUUAAUACCCUGGGGUCAUGACGGUACCGUAAGAAUAAGCACCGGCUAACUACGUGCCAGCCGCCGCCGUAA